rnacentral:rRNA from 1 species
GACGGAGGGUGCAAGCGUUGUUCGGAAUUACUGGGCGUAAAGCGUACGUAGGUGGCGGAUUAAGUCGAAUGUUAAAGCCUGGGGCUCAACCCCCAGAGAUGCAUUCGAUACUGGUCUGCUAGAGGGUGAUAGAGGAAAGCGGAAUUCCCAGUGUAGCGGUGAAAUGCGUAGAUAUUGGGAGGAACAUCAGUAGCGAAGGCGCUUUCUGGGUCACACCUGACACUGAGGUACGAAAGCGUGGGGAGCAAACAGG